rnacentral:rRNA from 1 species
UACGGAGGAUGCAAGCGUUAUCCGGAUUCAUUGGGUUUAAAGGGUGCGUAGGCGGAAGAGUAAGUCAGUGGUGAAAUCCCCUCGCUUAACGAGGGAACUGCCGUUGAUACUGCUUUUCUUGAGUACAGUUGAUGUGGGCGGAAUGUGCUAUGUAGCGGUGAAAUGCUUAGAUAUGGCACAGAACACCUAUUGCGAAGGCAGCUCACAAAACUGAAACUGACGCUGAGGCACGAAAGCGUGGGGAUCAAACAGG